AGCAGUAUGGUGUAAUGAUGCACAUGAGAUUUGCUUGAACCACGCUGAAUCGAGUCAUCUCGAGGUCCUUGUUCGAAUCAAGGUACUGCUC